AAGGCGAUGAUGCAUAGCCCGAGUUGAGAGACUGAUCGGGCCACAUUGGGACUGAGACACGGCCCAAAACUCCUACGGGGAGGCAACAGUAGGGAAUCUUCCACAAUGGACGCAAGUCUGAUGGAGCAACGCCGCGUGAGUGAAGAAGGGUUUCGGCUACGUAAAAGCUCUGUUGUUGGUGAAGAAGGACAGGGGUAGUAACUGACCUUUGUUUGACGGUAAUCAAUUAGAAGUCACGGCUAACUACGUGCCAGCAGCCGCGGUAAU
rnacentral:rRNA from 1 species